rnacentral:rRNA from 1 species
ACGCUCGACACCUACGGGAGCAGCAGUUGGGAAUAUUGGACAAUGGAGGAAACUCUGAUCCAGUGACGCCGCGUGAAGGAAGAAGGUCUUCGGAUUGUAAACUUAUUUUGUCAGGGAAGAAAAAUGACUGUACCUGAAGAAAAAGCACCGGCUAACUACGUGCCAGCAGCCGUGGUAAUCUGAGCGGGCUGGCAAGGC